rnacentral:rRNA from 1 species
UACGUAGGGGGCAAGCGUUGUCCGGAUUUAUUGGGCGUAAAGAGCGUGUAGGCGGCCAUACAGGUCAGCUGUGAAAACUCGAGGCUCAACCUCGAGACGUCGGUUGAAACCGUAUGGCUAGAGUCCGGAAGAGGAGAGUGGAAUUCCCGGUGUAGCGGUGAAAUGCGCAGAUAUCGGGAAGAACACCCGUGGCGAAGGCGGCUCUCUGGGACGGUACUGACGCUGAGACGCGAAAGCGUGGGGAGCGAGCAGG